GGAUGCCAGGCUAAUGCCCCGCCCCCUCGCCGGAUAGCCCCGCCCCGGCACGCGGCCUCCUUAGAGAGCAGCCAACCAGGUUCCGUGGGGAGGAGUCACCCACAGAGUCAGCGGGUGCUCGGGAAAAGGACCUCUGGGGUACUGGCCUCCCUAGAGGAUUGGCAGGAGCCUGGCGCCGUGACUGGAGCGCGCAGAGCUGACAACCCAAGGUCGUGGCUGCGCUCCCUCUGUGGCUAGUGGUCCACCUGGUCCUUGGUCUGGAACCAGAGCGUUUACUUCGCCCAGAGGACAGAGCAUCUGACAGAUGCAGCUAGAGGACAGCUAUGGGUCACUGGUCACCUAGAGGCAUCUGACACAUCACAUGCCCAAGUCGCUGUGUCAAGAACAUCCUCUCCAAGAGAUAGGAGCUCUGUUUUGCCUCUGUGUUUGCGAAGUAACGGCUUCGGUGUAACUCAGAGCCCUGUACAUCUCCCAGCACGGUCCAGGAGACUAGCUGAGAGGAGGCCUAUUAACACACAUUUCCCAGGAGUCACCAUGGCAUCCUUGAUACCAGCUUCAUGAUGUUAUUGUCUCCAAGUGUCUUUGACACAGCAGCAGUUAAGACCAAUGAAGGUAAAAACUCCUCCUGGUCAAGAGAAUACUAGAUAUUAAUCUGGUUGGAGAAUUGACAUUUUUGUAAGGCAUGUCAAUCAUCUGGCUAAGACACUGCCCCUUAGAAGGCGGGUUCUUCUGUAGCCACGUUAAAAAGGAACUUCUCUGCAACUAAAAGUGACCAGUGUGGGGCUGGAAGCUGGCAGAGUGCUCACCUAGUGUGGACAGAACUCGGGGUUCAAUGCCUACUGCAUGAGACGGACAUGGUGGCAUGUAUCUGUAUCCCCAGCACUCCAGAGGUGGAAGCGGCGUGAUAAGAAUUCCACGGUCGCCCGAGGCUAUAUAAGAAGUUCAAGGCCAGCCUGGACUGUAUGAAACUCUGCCCCACACCCUGAAAAUGAGGGAGGUGAAGCAACUGUGUAUCUGGUGGUGCUCGCCUAGAACCCCAGUGCCUGGGACGUGGAGGCUGGAGGAUGUGCAGUUCAAAUGAUGGAAUGUCCUAGGUUUAACCGAUGGUACCAAAAGAGAAAAAAAAAAAAAAAAAAAGGCAAUACUAGUUUCUGACCUUGGGACAAAAGACUGUGGUGCAUAUUUUACAUAUCAAAGCAAGCCAGCAUCCAGGUUCUCCCAAACUUUCCAGCCCAGAGGGGCUGGGCUGCCCUUCCCUCAGCGGCUCCUCCCUAUGUAAUCCAAAGAUUUGGUCUCCCUGCCCCCUCUCCUUCUUCUUUUCUACAAGCAUACCCUUCUCUCUUUUCUUCCU